GACAGAGGGUGCAAACGUUGUUCGGAAUUACUGGGCGUAAAGCGCGUGUAGGCAGCUCGGAAAGUCGGAUGUGAAAGCCCUGGGCUUAACCUAGGAAGUGCAUUCGAAACUUCCGAACUCGAGUUCUGGAGAGGAAGGCGGAAUUCUCGGUGUAGAGGUGAAAUUCGUAGAUAUCGAGAGGAACACCGGUGGCGAAGGCGGCCUUCUGGACGGAUACUGACGCUGAGACGCGAAAGCGUGGGGAGCAAACAGG
rnacentral:rRNA from 1 species